CCCUUAGAUGUUCUGGGCCGCACGCGCGCUACACUGAUACAUGCAACGAGUUUAUAACCUUGAUCUGACGGUCUGGGUAAUCUUCAAACUGUAUCGUGUUAGGGAUCGAUUCUUGCAAUUUUUAAUCGUAAACGAGGAAUUCCUAGUAAACGCAAGUCAUCAGCUUGCAUUGAUUACGUCCCUGCCCUUUGUACACACCGCCCGUCGACUCUACCGAUUGAAUGGUUCGGUGAAAACUUUGGACUGUGGCAUUGUCCUUCAUUGGACUUCGCCGUAGGAAAUUGUUUAAACCUCAUCAUUUAGAGGAAGAAUAAGUCGUAACA
rnacentral:rRNA from 1 species